ensembl:lncRNA
AGCCCAGUGGCGGAGGGUGAUGUAGGAGUGUGUGUGUGUAGCACCCAUGGAGGUCGGAGCAAUGUAGGAGUGUGUGUGUAGUAUCCGUGGAGCUCAGAGCGAUGUAGGAGUGUGAGUGUGUGUAGUACCUGUGGAGCUCAGAGCGAUGUAGGAGUGUGAGUGUGUGUAGUACCUGUGGAGCUCAGAGCGAUGUAGGAGUGUGUGUGUACUAUCCGUGGAGCUCAGAGUGAUGUAUUGCCUCC